UGGAUAAGGAUCGAGAGGAGGGUGCACAUCUUGCACUGCCAUGCCGAUGUCGUAAUGACACGAUCGUUAUUUCUUUCUGUCUAAAUUUGCAUGUGCAGCUUAUAAUUUGCAAAAAGACCUAACAGUUUGGAGAUUUGACUCUUGGUCACGUCAUUUGCAUCAACCGCUCGAAUGGCAUUUGAAAACUAUGAUCCGAUCAAAACCCAAUCUAUACGCAAAGAAGCUGGAGCUUCAAAGCGGGGUGAAACUGUUCCCUGAUCUCCUUCCAUGGCUAUAUAUAUGGAUCACGUACCUUAUUGUUGGAAUGCUGCCAGUCUGGGAACUUACAAUGUCAGGUAUGAUUCCAGGAUGUGAAUGGCGAUUGUAUGGAACUGUUGGUCAAUGUUUCUGCGAACUCAACGCUAACCUGUUUGGGUCCCGAGGAAUGACCAAAGCUGCCUUCCGCGACAUCACCUCUUCCUAAACUCGAAGAGACAGGUCUGUUACCAUAAUUCUCACAUUUGGUUGAUUGUACAUCUUAUGUAAUCCUACUUAAUCAGAGAAAAAACCAGAACAGGAUUGUCUGAAAACACCACAUCAGACGGAAUGUAGGUUGAAGAAAAAAAAAAGAGUUCUUCAAGCAUCCAAUCAUUAAAGAAGUCUAGAAAUACAACGGCACACCGAUCAGAAGAGUUUUUAUUAGAGAAGACUGCCCUUUUCAAGGGUUACCCCAUUUUGGAGCAGUAGCAGUAGCAGCAGCACUAAUAAUAGUAGUAGCUUAUACAUAGUGCAAGGUGUUUCUGCCGAGUCCUUACACAAUCUACUCGGUCCUCGAUCACAGUGGUUACGUAGCUCACCUCGUGUACACAGCUGGUGUCAAUAUCAUGUAGAAAAUUCCACGAGUAUCAUCAGGGAUAAGUCAGGUUAACAAUGUGUGUCCUUACUUUCCUUCUUGUGCACCGCCUGUCGAACAAAUUGUCCUCGAAUUCGUGGUCUCUGUUCUGCCAGUUUCUUCCUGCUCUGGUAUCGGACCUGGAGAAGAUUAUGUAAAGAGAUAUUUCUUUCGUAUCUCCUCCAAAAUCAUAGAAAUGAAGAUUAUACUAAAAAUGCAAGAACAAGAAGUAGUGUUAUUUGAGGAUUUUACACUAAAGACCAUCGGAAUGGCAUGAUUUGAUUUGUAAGA